AACCUGUUCAUCCAAGGAAAACUCAAGGAGGCGUUUAAGCAGUAGAAAACUAUGACGUCAGAACAGAGAUAUCUGCGUUAUCCACUCUACGGUAAGGGCCCCAGAGUUGUCUUCCCUUGCCGCUUAUAUUGCAGAUUUAAAGAAACUAUUAUUACAAUAUACAGUUAAGAAACCGUGAAUUUUUCAAGGGUAUUUUUCCUUAUUAUUAAUAACACGCAUUCUUUAAUAUAUCUAGAUAUUUAUAUUUUGCAAACUAUUACUUUUUGUCAACAUAAGCGAAUUAGAAAAUAUUUACAAUUUAAAGAUUUUUCACAAAUUUUCGUUAAUUUUAAGUAUUAUAAUCGGUUCAUAAACUUACUUUACGUCUUUACUUUACAUCAUCAGUUGUUAGAAAUUAGUGUUUCUUUAUUGUUAUUUUAUCAAAAUUUUGGAUUUUUCGAAAGCACGUGAUCGUUGAAGCUUUGACAGAAGCGUUAAUGGAAUUUUGUGCUUUGAAUUAAUUUUGUACUUUUAUGUAACCAAAAGUUGAACAUGUAUAUUCUUUUACAUUACCGUGAUCAUGCCGAGAUGACAAGCCUCAGCCGGCGGUGCCCUCCGAACCCGUCGCUGAUUCACAAAUCGAAAAGAGGUCGUGGAAACUCUUUAUCAGCUUCCGAAAUCAUUCAUAAUCAAGUGCAGUCUAAACGGACCCGGAAAGCCCCAUAAACUGCAAACGGAAAUGUACAAGUAGAACUAUUCGUUUUCUUUAUUUUUGUCAUGUGGCCGAUGUGUAGAGCAGAAGUGUGCUGCUUUCCGAAACAACUGGAAGGAAAUGUGACUGUCUUGCCUGACCAUGCUGUCGCCUCUGGUAACGGACUGUUUUCUGAGGUAAAUAUUGAUAUAAUUAUCUUUUGACUGGACAUAGCAAAGGAUUCGAGAAUAUUUCCCUGCGACAGGCUUCUUACAACUGGCAUUUUUCAAAGAGGAUGGGUGUAGUGUGUCAAAUAGCAAAUUCAACCUGGGUCAAAGGAAGAAUUUUACCGUUGCCUAGCAGCGCAAUUUGUGUUCCAGGAGGAGCCAAGUUACUAAGAAACUACCGGCUCGGUGUAAAAGAAAAGGUAAAUGUUACUGACUACCUGUUUAUGGCGGAUAGCGAUUGUCUGGAAAAUAUGGCGAUGCAUGCAGUUAGAACAGUGACAGCCCAGUGCAUACCUGUAGAAGACAAGACCUUUCAGAAAAUCUCAGAUUGUAAGUUAAUCAAAUUUUAAGAAAGUCGUGAAACAGGAGUUAGAAAAGAAACGCUGACUGACCUGGUUAAAAACAAAACAGUUCUAGUGUAAAAAUGUACUUGUAAAUUCGAGUAAAAAUGGCCCAACUAUUUUUUUUUAUCAAAAAUGAGAUGGAAUUGUUACAGCUUUUAUAUACAUUAUGUAUGACGAAAAUCUUAAAGGUGGCAAAAUAGUAACAUGCGUAUAAAUAUAGAAGAUUGUAAAUGAUUUAUUCAGUAUUACUUUAGGGGCCUUAAACAAUAUGAUUCUUGGAAAGCGCUUUAAAAUGUUAAAAAUGUUAAAGAGGCAUUAAAAAAGCGUGUCUUUAUUUAUAAAAUAGCAAUACCUAAGAGAUAUACAUCUGUCCCUUCCUGAGUUUAAAAGUACUAAAAUAAUACAGAUUACUUUUAACACUAUUCUACAAACAUAAUUUUGUAUUUAUUAGAACCCUGUAAUUAAUAAUAAUAAUAAUAAUAAAUCAGUUAAUGAAAUAUCUACUCCUUA